rnacentral:snoRNA from 1 species
AAACCAUGAUGAGGACAACGUUUAAGUAAUUCUUUGUAUUUGUCCCAAGCUUCGUACAAUGAUUCAGAAUCUUGUUGCAUGAAUGAUCUAAUAUCAUUACUCAUUUU